rnacentral:rRNA from 1 species
AGAGUUUGAUCAUGGCUCAGGAUGAACGCUAGCGGCAGGCCUAACACAUGCAAGUCGAGGGGCAGCACAGGUAGCAAUACUGGGUGGCGACCGGCGGAUGGGUGCGUAACGCGUAUGCAACCUACCAUUGAUUGGGGCAUAGCCCGAAGAAAUUCGGAUUAAUACUCCAUAAUAUUCAUCAAAGGCAUCUUUUAUGAAUUAAAGCUUUUGCGAUCAAUGAUGGGCAUGCGUGACAUUAGUUAGUUGGUGAGGUAACGGCUCACCAAAACGAUGAUGUCUAGGGGUUCUGAGAGGAUUAUCCCCCACACUGGUACUGAGACACGGACCAGACUCCUACGGGAGGCAGCAGUGAGGAAUAUUGGUCAAUGGACGCAAGUCUGAACCAGCCAUGCCGCGUGCAGGAUGACGGCCCUAUGGGUUGUAAACUGCUUUUCCACGGGAAGAACCCUCCGACGUGUCGGAGACUGACGGUACCGUGGGAAUAAGCAUCGGCUAACUCCGUGCCAGCAGCCGCGGUAAUACGGAGGAUGCAAGCGUUAUCCGGAUUUAUUGGGUUUAAAGGGUGCGUAGGUGGGCUUAUAAGUCAGCGGUGAAAUCCCCCGGCUCAACCAGGGAAUUGCCGUUGAUACUGUUAGCCUUGAGUACAGUUGAAGUGGGCGGAAUGUAGCAUGUAGCGGUGAAAUGCAUAGAUAUGCUACAGAACACCAAUAGCGAAGGCAGCUCACUAAGUUGUAACUGACACUAAUGCACGAAAGCGUGGGGAUCAAACAGGAUUAGAUACCCUGGUAGUCCACGCUGUAAACGAUGAUCACUCGUUGUUGGCGAUAUACAGUCAGCGACUGAACGAAAGUAUUAAGUGAUCCACCUGGGGAGUACGAUCGCAAGGUUGAAACUCAAGGAAUUGACGG